rnacentral:rRNA from 1 species
GAUGAACGCUGGCGGCGUGCCUAAUACAUGCAAGUCGAGCGAACAGACGAGGAGCUUGCUCCUCUGACGUUAGCGGCGGACGGGUGAGUAACACGUGGAUAACCUACCUAUAAGACUGGGAUAACUUCGGGAAACCGGAGCUAAUACCGGAUAAUAUAUUGAACCGCAUGGUUCAAUAGUGAAAGACGGUUUUGCUGUCACUUAUAGAUGGAUCCGCGCCGCAUUAGCUAGUUGGUAAGGUAACGGCUUACCAAGGCGACGAUGCGUAGCCGACCUGAGAGGGUGAUCGGCCACACUGGAACUGAGACACGGUCCAGACUCCUACGGGAGGCAGCAGUAGGGAAUCUUCCGCAAUGGGCGAAAGCCUGACGGAGCAACGCCGCGUGAGUGAUGAAGGUCUUCGGAUCGUUAAACUCUGUUAUUAGGGAAGAACAAAUGUGUAAGUAACUAUGCACGUCUUGACGGUACCUAAUCAGAAAGCCACGGCUAACUACG